UACGUAGGGUGCGAGCGUUGUCCGGAAUUACUGGGCGUAAAGGGCUCGUAGGCGGCCAACUAAGUCAGACGUGAAAUCCCUCGGCUUAACCGGGGAACUGCGUCUGAUACUGGAUGGCUUGAGUUUGGGAGAGGGAUGCGGAAUUCCAGGUGUAGCGGUGAAAUGCGUAGAUAUCUGGAGAACACCGGUGGCGAAGGCGGCUUCUGACG
rnacentral:rRNA from 1 species